CCCUUAGAUGUCCUGGGCUGCACGCGCGCUACACUGAUGUGUCCAGUAAGCACCUAACCUAUUCCGAGAGGAGCGGGUAACCUUAGCAAAGCACAUCGUGAUGGGGAUAGAUUAUUGCAAUUAUUAGUCUUGAACGAGGAAUUCCUAGUAAGCACAAGUCAUCAGCUUGUGUUGAUUACGUCCCUGCCCUUUGUACACACCGCCCGUCGCUCCUACCGAUUGAAUGUUCCGGUGAGCUCUUCGGACUGCGCGGUCUGCAGUUUCUGCGUUCCGUGCGGAAAGUUGUGCAAACCUUAACAUUUAGAGGAAGGAGAAGGCGUAACA
rnacentral:rRNA from 1 species